rnacentral:rRNA from 1 species
GACGAAGGGGGCUAGCGUUGUUCGGAAUUACUGGGCGUAAAGCGCGUGUAGGCGGUUGCCAUAGUCAGGUGUGAAAGCCUUGAGCUCAACUCAAGAAAUGCACUUGAUACUGGGCGACUAGAGGACCGGAGAGGAUAGUGGAAUUCCCAGUGUAGUGGUGAGAUACGUAGAGAUUGGGAAGAACACCAGUGGCGAAGGCGGCUAUCUGGACGGUUUCUGACGCUAAGACGCGAAAGCGUGGGGAGCAAACAGG